AUAUCGAAAGAUGUGGAGCGAAAGAUUUGUUCUAAUAGAAUGAGUUCGCUAAGCCACUGUCUCUUCGGAGACAUCCGAUAAAAUUGGAACGAUACAGAGAAGAUUAGCAUGGCCCCUGCGCAAGGAUGACACGCACAAAGCGAGAAAUGGAUCUGAGAAUACAGCAGCUGCAUUAUAUCAAAGCAGAAUUUCGUCGUGGACGUGACACUGCACAUUUCUGAUGUUGUAGAAAGCACUGUAUUUAAAAGAGGAGGAUUCGGAGAACUGCAGUGUGAGGGGGAAGUCGAUAAGCCGCAUUCGUAAGGCUCAACAUUUAUGUAUUUGUUAGAUGCUGACGUGAAAAGAGCAUUGUUGCAAUUGUUUCAAAAUCGUGCAGAAUAUUUUUUUCUUUCUUUUUUUCUUUUACAUAUAUAUAUAUAUAUAUAUAUCAAAAAAAGAACUUAAUAACCUCUGCUCUAUCAUAUAUUUUGUCUAAUUGGCAUUUUUGUC